rnacentral:rRNA from 1 species
CCUACGGGAGGCAGCAGUGAGGAAUAUUGGUCAAUGGGCGAGAGCCUGAACCAGCCAAGUCGCGUGAGGGAGUACUGCCCUAUGGGUUGUAAACCUCUUUUGUCGGGGAGCAAAAGCCGGACGUGUCCGGCUGUGAGAGUACCCGAAGACAAAGCAUCGGCUAACUCCGUGCCAGCAGCCGCGGUAAUACGGAGGAUGCGAGCGUUAUCCGGAUUUAUUGGGUUUAAAGGGUGCGCAGGCGGAUUUUUAAGUCAGCGGUCAAAUCGUGGGGCUCAACCCCAUCCAGCCGUUGAAACUGGGGAUCUAGAGACGGCGAGAAGUACGCGGAAUGCGCGGUGUAGCGGUGAAAUGCAUAGAUAUCGCGCAGAACUCCGAUUGCGAAGGCAGCGUACCGGCGCCGGACUGACGCUGAGGCACGAAAGCGUGGGUAUCGAACAGGAUUAGAUACCCUAGUAGUC